rnacentral:lncRNA from 1 species
UCGAAAAAGAUCAUUCCUCAACAAAAGGAUUCUAGAAGGAAAUGAAUGCUAAGCCGGGGAUGUCCCUGUGUUGUAAAGAAGACCUUUUUCAGAGGAGCACUGAUCCUGAGUAAGAUUGCUAGUCCUAUAAACUCAGAUCUAGUCAAGAAAUACUUCGUUUAAAGAAAAAGAAAGGACCAAUGUGAAAACCUGCAAAGGGGACUUUGAGUAAAAAAAACAAGAAAAAUGAAAAUGAAAAAUAAAAAAAUGAUGAAAAAGUAA